CGUCAGCCUGACCGGGUGGCAGCCUCGUGCCCACCGCCUCGUGCCCGCCUGGGACUCAGCUGCGCGCGGAGCUGUUUGUGUGUAAAGAUUCCCUCAAGGAAGGAAGAAACAAAAGGCAGCAAAGUGGCAGGAUACUGAGCACUGAAGGCACAUAGGCCCUGCUUUGGUCGCUCUAUGGAAGAAGAUAUCUCCAGAAAAUUCACUGGAUCCUUCUGUUGCUGAAGCAGAAUUUAAGGAAUACAGGGAGUGCUGCAUGGGACACAGCACGUACAGGACUAUAGGAUAUACCACAACAGCUUCCCAUUUUGCAAAUGAAUCCCAAUUGUAACCAUAAGGAAGCUCAGGAAGAUCCCCUGUGUUGUCCACCCAUCCAAAUUCACAUUGUGCUUAGCAGCCUCAGUCCUCAAGGGAACUCAGCACAGUUUCAGUUAGCUGAAAAAACUGCAAGGAAACACAAAAACAUUACUGAACAACCUGAAAAAAAAUCAAACCAUUCCUAUCUUACAAGUACAAUUAUCUCGUAUUGGAUUAUUAUACAGCAAAUGGGAGAGUUGGGCUACAGCUCAAAAGCAGCUGAAAGGAAGACUAGACAAGGCUCAUUUUCAAAUCCCGGGUUAUCUGAUUCACCAGUCCCAAGUAAUUUAAAUAUUUUAAAACUUGAUUUUAAUGUAAUAUAAAAUGUUUAUACAGUGUGAUUACAAAUGACAGUGAAAAGCAGUUGGCUAGUUCAUACAAAAGUAUCAACAAACUGAACUGGUGAGCAAACACCUCCUCUGGGGUUGUAUAGCUUGCCGAAAUAUUGAUAUUGAAAACCCAGGAGUCUUCCUUUGUCAGCCCUAGGAUUUUUCCCAGGUGUAUCCUACUGCAGGGAUCAGGCAAUACUUUAAUGCAUAUGUAUCUCACGGGAAGGUACGCAGCUAGAAAUAAAAAUACAAUAUGAUCUCUCUGCAGGGCAUGACAAAAUAAAAGGCUCCAGAAGGUCUUGGAGCUAUCACCUCCUGCCAGUCUAAUCAGUAACAUGGCUUGUGUUUUUCUCAUGUGUACACUUAGCCGUCAGCAUUAAGCUAUUGUCCAAGGGCUGACAGCAGAGAGGAAAUGGGGAGUAAAGGCUGGCCUGAUGUCAUGGUGCACUGCUCUGAGCCUCAGCAUGGGGAGGAUUGGGAAUGGACGUAUUUGGUCACGGUCAGGAUACAGUGAGGAAGAAAAAGGUGAGUGAUGUCUUUCUCUUCCGCCCUUAGUUAAGAAAUAUGUAAUUUUGUAAUCAGAGAGUUGCAGGUAGGAAUCACUGCUUAUAAUUUCUUUAAAGAGCACCUACAAGCCUCUCAUAUGGAUAGGCAAGGAAAAUAUAGUGUAGACUUUAUCUUUGAUGUUUGUCUGGAUGGGACCACAAAGCUAAGAUGGCCUAAAAGUAAACACCGAUGCUGUGAGUUUGUAAAAUAAAAAUGCAUCAUUCAGAAAAGCUGAGAUCAAACUCCAAACAUCGCCAGAUAGCACUGAGAAUGGGUAUCUGCUUUUGUGUGGAGCUCAGAUAAUGCAACUGGGACUCUGACCAACUCAAAACUGCAUGCUGAAAGCUUGUACCAAAAAGGUGGGAGCGGUGGACAAAUUCUCAUCCUCAGCAACCAGUAGCCAUCCAUACAUUACAUGGUGGGCACCAUAUAAGAAUGUGGAAAAGAGGAAUGCCUUUAGUGGAGUUAUAAAUAAUGCAGACAGGCACAAACACAUAGGCUCUGUGAGCUGAGACAGACUGCCUUUCAGGGCAAAACAGAAGUUAUUUGCGAAAGGGCAGAGGGCUAUGGAUUAUAAACUAAGUGUUGAAAAGCUGGUACCCCAUAAAUACAGUAAAAGUAAUUCACCUGCAAGAGGAUUCAAAGACCAAAGAGAAUUUCACAUGCUUGGAUGAAUGUAUUUCUAAAAUUCUGCAACUCAACUGUGUGUGCAAAUGGAAAGUAGAGGCUUGAUUUAUUGAUAAACAAAUCCGCAGCAUAAUUGAACAUACAGAAAAAAAUAGUGCCUGAAGAUAGCUGAAGCAAUAUUGAAUUACCCCCCAGCGUUUGCUGAAUCUGCCAUUUUUGUCCCUGCAAAUUUCACUGUUAGUACACCACUGCGUGGGGAAUGGGUCCUCAGCACUGAGGAGAAAUCAGUAAGACCACGGUCUUGCUUUCCUCCACUGCUACUCUAUAGACUCUUAUUUGAGCUCUUUUCACCUUAAAGAAGGUGGAAAAGAACAUUGGCAUGCUGGCCACAGUGUUCAGACAGACCCUUUCUGUGCUCCUUCCAGCUUCAACAAAGUUCUUAAUCGUACAUCGCAUGGUGCCUGCUCCCUUUCUCUAAUUCCCAGCUAUGCUGAAACGCAAAAGCAGAGACAAGAAAAAGCAGAACUGAGAGUUCCUCAGCUUUUCCCAGAGACAAAGAUGCAGGGCAGUCUCUUAGCAGAACAGGUAUUGCUUAUUCCCUGCCUUCCCCACCUUC